rnacentral:rRNA from 1 species
CAGUAGCCGCGGGAAUACGGAGGGCGCGAGCGUUACCCGGAUUUACUGGGCGUAAAGGGCGUGUAGGCGGCCUGGGGCGUCCCAUGUGAAAGGCCACGGCUCAACCGUGGAGGAGCGUGGGAUACGCUCAGGCUAGAGGGUGGGAGAGGGUGGUGGAAUUCCCGGAGUAGCGGUGAAAUGCGCAGAUACCGGGAGGAACGCCGAUGGCGAAGGCAGCCACCUGGUCCACUUCUGACGCUGAGGCGCGAAAGCGUGGGGAGCAAACCGGAUUAGAUACCCCUGUAGUCCCUGUCUCUUAUAC